CUAGCUAUUGCGUUCUUCGUGGGACCAGCCUAACUAAAGGCCACUGGGCUGGAAUAGCCAACGCCUUCCAACUGCCACUAAGGGAGGUUUUCCGUUCCGUGUUUGGGAUUGGCUGGGACUUCUGGUGCCUCCUGCCAAGGGUGGAGCCAAUGGUUGGGCAGCCCAGAAGGCUCCAAGCAUGCGCACUUGAGCUCGAGCUCUUGCGUCGUCUGUUCAUCAGUGCAGUUAGUUGGUCUUCAAGCUCAGUGCAAGUUGGUGGUAGUGUCCCUGUACUCCAUGUGGCCUGCUGCAUGCUCGUGCAGGGUUUUAAGAUCGGGUCCUGAGCUUAAAUACAUUUCCCCGGGGUGUGAGGCUAGUCCCUUCCUUAUAGCUUCAUAGUCUUUGAUGGAGCUGUGCCAUCUGAGAAGCCUGCCUCUGGAUUGGGGUUUUGGGGAAGGGGGGUGGGUGCCAAGUCUCACCAUGGUGUCAUUCCUGGGUCCUAUUGUGGGGGCCCUCUUACCAGCCUGCCCUCUCGUAGUUCAGAAAGCCCUGCCGGGGCAUCUGUUUGUCCUCUUGCCACUUUGUUUCUGGGUCCUCCUUCAUCUUUCCUAUGUUCUAUCAUGUUCUGUCGCCAGCACUCUCCAAGUCUCAUUUACUACAGAUCUUUUGACACCGGUCAUUCUUUUAAGCCCAAAGACCGUUUGUGAAGUGGACAGAGCUAUAACUGCUGCUGUUUGUAGAGUUUUGUGUCACACUAUUUCCUUUUUUAACGUUUACAUUGUUGGUGAAUUUUACAUUGCGCACCCGGUCAUGCUCACUUCCCAGUCCUCCCAGGUGUGCCUCCCCACCUUGUGACCACCCCCUAAAAAAGAAAAACAACUCCAAUUUGUGUUGCCCAUCCUUACUGAAGCACAGGCAAACUCCCAGUGACCAGCUCCUUAAGACUGAAUCCCUCCCCACCCCCACCCCUGUCAGAAUGUAUACAUUUAAUACGCACAUCUUUCUAAGUGGGUUUUUACCUGGACACUUUCACGGCCUACCAUCUUAGUAAACAUUCUCUUUGUGGCUUACCUUACAAUAAUAGCACAGUUGGUUUCUUCAGUCACCAAACUCCUGACAUCAUUUCUCACCUGUUACUCUUAACUAGUCCAGAGAGGAAUUGAUCGUCAGACAGCGCAAAUUGGAUAAAGAAUGUUUUUCAUUUUCCUUUUUAUAAUUUCUAUUCCCACCGUGGAAGUGCGUUAAAGAUGGCUUCCACCGCAAGUGAGAAACUGUGGGAUCCGGCAAGACGAUAACUCUUUGAUGAUCUCAAAGAACUCUCUCUCUCUCUGCCUUCCAACAUCUCCUACAUUGUGAUUUCAGCAAAAAAGAAAAAAGAGGAAAAGAAAAAAAGAAAAGUAGGCUAGCCAAGAUGGCCAAGCGUGACAAUGGUGUGGAGAGGCCUAGCAGUGCUUCUGACCAUGGUUUGGGAGGCAGAGAAACCUGAAGGAUUCCUUAGAAGUCUCCAGCAGAGGGUUCAGCCAGUCCAUCUUGCUCACUUGUGCUUGUAAACAAAACAGUAUGAAAUGAGUUGGGAGCAGAUAGGCUUUGUCACUGAGGGCUCAUCUACAGUCUAUCCCCUGACUAUGUCUGGUCUUUAGGCUGCUUCCUCCAUUUUAUUUGUAAAUAUGAGGCCUAGAGUCCCAGCUCACUAAAGUGUGCGAAAUGUUUGGAAAUGUCUGGAGACUUUGAAAUCAGAAGGGAUCAGCUUUUCUAUUAUCCCCACCUGUUAAGUGUGUAUGCAACCUUGGGUAAAUUCUGGAAAGGCAGAGAGCCUCCUAUAGGUUUGCACCCACAAUGUAACAAGAACCCUGUGAGGAUUACCCUCACAGCAGGAAGGAGAGCAAGUCCUCAUUCCUGCCUCCCCUCUCUAAGAGUAACUGUAGCUUCUGAACCCCAGGGCUGAGCUGAAUGCCCCUACACCUUCCAGUCCUAGGACUCCAGGGCACUUAACAAAUCUCAUCUCUUCCACAGCAAUAAGGCCCUACUUGGGAAGACUGUUUUGUCAGGGACCUUUGGCCAAAGUUCUUCCUCCCCAACAGGAUCACAUACCUCCAAGACCACUUCUAAAUACCCUGCCCUCUUUUCUUUCCCUGGUUGUAACCCCAAUGGGUACCUUUCUACUGUGGCCCUCCCCUCACUCUCACAAACACAGACCCUAACAGACUUUGGCAGUACAGAGCUCAUUACCUGCUGCAAAGGUGAUUCCCUUUCCUGGGAGUCUUACAGUCAAAUGUCACCCCACUUCAUCUUUGGGGCUUACUUCUCCCUAGCACUUUUGGGGACAGGGACAGCUUCUUUACCCUCUCCAAGUCCAAUCUGUUCCCUCGUGUCCUCUAAAAGGUCUGUUGACAGGUGUGUUAAGUCUGAGAGGGGCACCUCCGGGUGUGCGGAGAAGCCGAGUACUUGCAUUCCCUGUGACAAAUGUGACGAUUGAUGGGUGAAAAGAAGUGAUAACUAGUGGGACCGGAGACUAUUUCAGGUUUUUUUUCCUGGUAAAACAUGUAUUCAAUCGUUUCUAUUGCAAGUGUCAGGAACUGGAGAGCAUUAUGGUGAUAGAAAAAUACAUGACUUGUAAAGGAACGAGAACACACUGAGGAGAAGGAAAGUCAAACUUUAAGGGUAUAGUUAUCAAAUAAAUGGUAAACAGAAGGCGGGAUGAAAGACGUAGAAAACCAUGUAUUGAUUUCCUGACAUUGCAAACAGCUGGGUUUUCCUUUCAAAAGAACUUGGGAAUAGGUCAACUUUGAGAAGAGCUAUAGUUUAAAUAAAAAUGCUUCUGAAACAAAAUAAAUGAACAAGAGCAAAUAUGCUUGUAUGCACAUAUACAAGAAGAUGGGGAUCUUAGGGUAGGAUGAAGAUACUAUAUCCACAACUUACAUACACAAGACAGCAUAUCGGCUACCUGUAUUACCCAAAACUGUUUUUACAUUCAAAGAGCUUUGGAAGGAACAGGGAAGAAGCAAAAGAUAGAGAUACGCAUAGUCAGCAACAUAUACACGGGAUAAUUUGCAAGCUGAGAAGUUAUGGGGUUGAGAGGGGAAGCAGUUCACAUAAGAUUGGCUUUAUCCAGGUCUCUUGCCUUAAUUGGAGCCACCAGAAUGGUCCUUGGAAGAGUCCCUACCCAACUUCAUAAAGCCUGGAAGUCCCAGGGAAAACAAUGUCUAAGGAUUUAUAUCUAAUGAAGCCCACAGAUCCUCCAAGUGAAGGAGAGAAGGGUCCAUAUUCCAAAGAAUGAUGAAGGGUGGGAGCCAUCAGUAGGGAAACAAGUCUUGAGGAUGAGUUCCGUUGACAGGAAGGACGUGUGGAAGAGACAAUAGGCAACACAAUACACACGGAGGUUUUUCUUACUCUAGGACUAUGGGGUGGAGUCAUGUAAGGAAGCUGUGUAGGGCUCAAUGAGCAGAAAUCAGAAAGUGGCUUUUGUGUGUGUGGGGGUGGUGGUGGUCAAGUUUUCCUAUCACUGGGAAUGGUGUUUGUGGAGGACAGGGCACAGCACUUUUCAGGGAAACCCAGAUUUCUUAUAGAGGUGGUAUGAUAUUUAGUGACUAAAGCUUGAGGCAGAUGUAAAAGCGUUUAACCCAUUCUACAAACAUAAUACAUUCUGAUAAAGUGAACAUUUUAUCUCUUGGAAACUAGAAAGGAAGGGAAUGGGGGAAGACCAGGGAAUGAAGCUUAAUGGCAACCUAAAACAUUGGGCUUGAUAUCCAGCAUUGGAGGGUGCAGGGGAGAAGCAAAAAUAUAGACACAUAUAUUCAACAAUAUAUACAGGAAAGUUGGUAAGUUGAGAGAGGAAAAGGUGUCCCAAAGGUUAGCAUUCAGUAGAGGAGAGGAGAGGAGAGAAUAUAAGCACAGUGCCAGGCAUGGGAAUGAAGGGUGCAGUAUUGGGAUAGGGAAAGCAGCAAAGCCAUCAAAUGGGCUGGGGCUUCUAGAGACUGUGCACCUCCUGGACAAAGGGAUAAAAAAGCCACAGUCUAGAAUGUGAUGAGGAAUGAGAGGCAGAAAGUAGAGAGUGUCACAUGUCACAACAGGCCACCAACAUGCCAGGUCUAGGAAACUUCUGACUUAACUGACCCGUGUAUCCUCUUCCAACUUGGGGGUUGGCUUUCUGGCCACAGCAGUCCUUCCUUCCCUUUCUUUAUUGGAAAUUGAAGUAGGCUCUAGGCCAUGUUCCAAAGGAUCUGACUGGAGAGGCAGCUUUAGAAAAGUAACUGAAAACGUUUUGCUCAGGAGCAGCUGGGUGGCACUGGGUGAGAGAGUCUUAAAACAAACAAACAAAAUGUCUGUGUCCCAUUUUCCUCAACUGUAAAAUGAAUUAGCAAUGCCAAGAGAGGCCCUAGAGAUGUUGGACAGGUAAAAGGAGGAGCUCCGUAGAUGAAGACUGCAAGGUGUUAGCUGAUUCCUGGUUAUCAAUGUUGAUGACAUCAUUUCUUAAUCCAGUCUCUCAGCCACAAUCCCGGGACCCAUUGUGAUGUCAUAUACUUUCAAAGACCCCAUGACAGCUUCUCUUACUCCCUGGAGAGAAGAUGACUUGGAACAAAGGGUCUAAAGACAAGUGUGAGCCGUCUGGGAGGUGUCUGUGCCGGAAGCCUCCUGCUCCGUGAAAGCUCGCCAGCUCUGCUGUACUCUUGCAUCACUGAGUUAUACUGCACCAGAGUUGUUGGUGUCACCUGUAGGACUAACUUGGACCUUCUUUCCAAGGCUGUUCUAAAGGCCAGCUAUGCAAUAGGGAAGUCUAUUUGGGGUGUUUUCAUGACCCAUUAGCUGCCCCCGUCCCCUCUUGCUUGUGGGUGGUCACUAAAACCUGGGCCCUCUUCUUUCCAAAUGUUAAAAUCUUGCUUUUUCCUCCUGCUUCUUCUGUGGGGUUCGCAUGGCUCAUAUCAAAGGUAUGAAAAAGUCUGAGCUUGAAGUUGUCCUCGGAUUCCCACUACGUAUUCCCACGUUAGUAGGGAAUCCCUUCACCCUCCCCUUGAAGAGAGCCCUGAAUGACUAGAGUUUCGUUUGUGUGGCAGAGGGUUCCUGCUUGCUGGGGAAGACUUUUGAAGACAACCUGAAACCUGAUGGAGGCUGAUGCUCAAAUUGAGGAUAUACCAAAUGUCACAAUGGUGGCUUCUAUGGAAGCUCCAUUGGGCAGGAGGCAGGAGACCGAUCCAAGAAAGGCUGCUGGAGAAAACAUUAAUCCUCUGCAACUUCCCCUGCCCCAACUCUGGGAGCAGAGGCCAAGGCUGGCAUUGCUGCAGGCUUGUGCCUGUCCCACACCAACCUAGGCAGUCAGUGACUGAGUCGGAAGAGCCUUGCCUGGGUUUUCAGAACUGCAUUACCUACACGGAGGCGCCUAUGGAAAUCCCUGGUGCCUUUGGUCUUUGAGCACCUUGCUCCCCAGCCUUAAGGGGGAAAGCAGAAAUGCAAUCAUACUGGCUUGUGUUAGUGAGGUCCUCUACCGUGAUUUUUUUUAAAAAAUACUUUACAUAUUCAUACUAUUCUGUUUUUGAAAACUUUAAGGUAACUUUGGUAUUCUCACUGCCUAUUGUCACUUAAGACCCAAAAGUUUACAGGAAUAGAUGGGUGUGGAUACAUUCUAUGAGGAGAAAGUGUAGAACACGGCCGUUAAGGGAGGGGGUUUGGGAAUGCCAGGACAGCGAAGGGAGUGUGCGCCCACCAGGCUUUGCUGUGCAAGUUGCCAAGAGCUCACCCGCAGAACCGGAAGUGGAAGCAUCCAUUGCCCUGUGCUGCCGUCAUUCCUAUUCCGUCCGGACCAGAGAGAUGGAACCCCUUGGGAGUUAUUAUUUAUUAUUUAAUAAUAGAUGUUCAUAGAGUCUCAUGUGAAUGUCAAGACACCAGCAGGAAUUUAGAGUAGCAGAUAAAAAAAACGUUGCGUUCAUGUCCUCCCUGCACCCCACAUGGAAGCAAUACUGUGUUCUUCACUCAAUUGUAGAUGUCAACUUGUUUAGAUGUAUAACGCUUUUUAUAUGCUACCCCAUAAAAUGCUGAAUUGUUUGAUUGCUGCCCUGCUGCACUAGCCAGUCAUGGAGAGUGAUUAUGUCCCAUAAAAACUCUUGUUUAUCUGGAACAUUAUCUCUGUUUAAAAGAGCUUUGUGCCAUGUGAAUUGAAAACAGAACUUGAAAUUAUUUCAUACAAUGUUUAUUUUUUAAUUAAGAACAUAGAAUAUUCAUUAUUUUCAGCCUCUAAAAGCAGUUCACUUUUUUUUAUUGGAUAUUUAUUUACAUUUCUAAUGUUAUUCCCUUUCCUGGUUUCUUGUCCCUAUCCCCCUCCCCUUCUUCUAUAAGGGUGUUCCCCUCCCCAUCCACCCUCCCUUCCUCCUCCCCCCAACAAUCCCCUACACUGGGGGUCCAGCCCUGGCAGGACCAAGGGCUUCUCCUUCCAUUGGUGCCCAGCAAGGCCAUCCUCUGCUACAUUUGCAGUUGGAGCCAUGGGUCAGUCUAUGCACAGUCUUUGGGUAGUGGCUUAGUUCCUGGAAGCUCUGGUUGUUUGGCACUGUUGUUCGUAUGGGGUUACAAACUCCUCCAGUUCCUUUAAUUCUUUCUCUAAUUCCUCUAAGAGGGCCCCGUUCUCAGGUCAGUGGUUUGCUGCUAGCGGUCGCCUCUCUAUUUGACAUGCUCUGGCUGUGUCUCUCAGGAGAGAUCUAUAUCCGGUUCCUGUCAGCCUGCACCUCUUAGCUUCAUCAAUCUUAUCUAGUUUUGGUAGCUGUGUAUACAUGGGCCACAUGUGGGGCAGGCUCUGAAUGGCCGUUCCUUCAGUUUCUGCUCUAAACUUAAAGCAGUUCAUUUAAAUAAACAUAUCUAUUAUCUAUAAGGCAGGGACUAUAUAUAAAUGAGACUAGAGAUAUAAAGUAGGUAAAUGAGUCUGGCGUGGGGAAUGGGCGGAGUCAUCAAGUAUUUCUCAAGACCUGUGAGGAGAUGCGUCACCUCCAAACAGGAACUGGGGUAUCAGCCUUUACAUGUAAAGAUUUUUAAAGAGAGAGUAAAGAAUGCGGGCUGGAGAGAUGGCUCAGCGGUUAAGAGCACUGACUGCUCUUCCAGAAGUCCUGAGUUCAAAUCCCAGCAACCACAUGGUGGCUCACAACCAUCUGUAAUGGGAUCUGAUGCCCUCUUCUGGUGUGUCUGAAGACAGCUACAGUGCACUCAUAUACAUAAAAUAAAUAAAUUAAAAAAUUAUAACAAAGAAUGCAUGUGAAGAAUAUAUAUGUUAUAUAUAUCUUUGUCAGGAAACACAUUUUUCAAAACCCAUUCAACAUUACAAAAAUUAAGCAUUUUCAUACCAUGAGGAGAAGCUCAACUCCAACUAGAAAACCAGUAAUUUUCAUAAGAAAAUGUACACAAAACAUGGAUAAAUACAAUUCAUUCCAACCGCAGUAAAAAGUGUGGGCUCCCUCAGCUCUUAAGAUGAAGAGCAUAUAUGGAAGAAAAUGCUUGGCUGGUGUGUGUGUCUUACAGCAUAGCUUGCCCACUCUGUCCAUGGACACCGCAUGCUUCCACCUCUUGGCUACUGUGAAUAGUCCUGGCAUGAACACAGGUGCUCAGAUAUCUUUUUAAGACAUUAUUUUUGGUUUUCUAAGAUAUAUGACCAGAAAUGAGAUUGGUGGUUUGCAUGGUAGCAUGAUUUUCACAUUUCUAGUAGACUAUAAUGUUCAUUAGUUUUUAUCACUAAAUAAUGUUGCCCAAAAACAGUUGUGUUUAUCAUUGGCUAUUGUUUAUGUUGAGAUUUCAUCACCAGUGUACUAGCAAUGAAAGAGGUGGUGUUAGGCAGCUAGACAGACAUUAGCAGGCUUGGAAGCCCUUGAGCAUGGGCCUCUCACUUUGAAACCCACCUUUCAUUUUACCAUAUGGAAAGGUGGGAGAUACGGGAGCUUUAUUGCAGCCCGGUGAGGGAAGGCUACCUCCUCUGGCUCAGAAGGGUAGAUCUGAGUUCUCUACCUCUUGCCCUAGGUGGAGCAUAACAAAGUGAAGUACCCUAAAGAUUAGAAUAAUGUCCUCCACUAAGAGCAGCCCCAAAUGGGCCUACCCAUCACCUCACCAGGAAACCACUCCUCAGGAAAGCUGAUUCACCUGACAUGCUAAGGAGACAGAGGGAAUAAUUAUCCCCUUAAUGAAAUCAUGCACUCAGACACCCUGGCUGCCCCUCCUUUGGGGCAAGUUGCUCGCAGAUCUUUUAGUGACCGCUAAGCCUGCCUGCUUUUCUAAGUUGUGGUUCAAAAAUGUAACUUUUCCUUUCUCCCCUUCUAUCUCUUCUUUGGAUACCAGCCAAAAUCCUAAAUGGGCUUGCCCUGACAUGCUGGGCUUUCUCCCUGUUUUCUCUGGAGACUCUCUUUCUGCAAUGUUUGCAGCCCCCUGUGGCUCAGCCUGACAGAAGGCCGGCCCUUUUCCCUUAUCUACCCCCUCCCCAAACUGCCAAGAUUUUUAGCUUGCCUGCCCUGUUGAUUUUCUCUCAAAUUCCAAUAAAAUGGUCCUCAAGCUUCCUUCUGAGUUGGUUUUAAGAUUAUUUUACCAGAGAAAUUAAGAACCCACAAAGGGAACUGUGAUUCCUUGGUGCCACUGGGACCUUUAAGAGGGACUGAUCUCUUGUCUUGUGAGACAUUUAAUCUCAAAAUUGGUCACAGAAAUAUAUUAGUUCUUCUGAGAGUAUAAUGUUACAAAAAAUGUCUGGCCUCUUCUGUUCCGCACUCUGCCACAUUCUUACCACAUGAUGCACCUCCCCUGUCUGGCAGGAGAGACCGCAGAUCCACCCGCAGACCCAUCUUUGGUUGCAGUUUUGGACAGAAUGACAGCUUUGGAUCUAGUUUCAUCCUGUUUACAGGAGAACACCCAAGUUUAACAGCACUAUUUGCCAACAAAGCUUUUCCUGCCCCAAUGUGUAUUUUUUCACACUUUUGUCAAAGAGCAGGUGCUGUAUCUAUUCAAUUCUACUGGCGUAUGUGCCUGUUUCUGUUGUGCAAAUGACGUUUUUGCUAGUCGGAUACUAUGUGUAAGAGAUAAGAUAUAAUUAAUGGUCCAUCUUCAAGACAAACGUGCCUUGAAGUGCAGCUAUAGGUGAAGAAGAGAACACUAGAACCCUGACGGUGAUGGCUGGUCUAGAUAGCCUCUACCCAAAGGAAGCAUUUAGGGUGGACUAUUAUGAAGAGCCAAGCUUGCCUAUUGGCUUACAAACUGACAAAAUUUAUGUCUCGAGAAACUUUAAAAUACACAGAAUGUAAAGUGUGCAGAUGAACUCACUUGUAGUCUUUGCUGAGAAAAUGCAAACAUACGUGGCAAUUGGUGUGUAAGAUUUUUACUACCAUCCCAUUACUCAGCCAAUGAGGAAAAGGAGGAAGAGAACUGGACCUUCAGGGUUAUAAAAGCCAUCCUCGGACCUCACCCAGUGCAGAUAUACCCACGUCCCAUCCCUACCCCCACCCCCACUCCUUUUUUUUUAAAGGCCAGCAUUCAGUUCUGCAGAAACUAAAAUUACCUGAUUUUUUUCUAUGUGAAGUCUCCUAAAUACAUUAUUAUGAACUGUGGGUCCCCAUUCCUUACAGACCGGGUGCUCUGUAGGAUUUCUGCAUUUGGGGAGAGAACCCCUCAUUCUCUGGGAGAGCUGAAGAUACGUCCCUCCCAUCUUUGGGCAGCAGGGCUGCCUGACUUUGGUCUUUGCACAAGUCACCAGAAAAGACCCAUGGCAAUUCUGAGAGGAGCAAACCAAUGGUAGGGCACUCAGAUUUCCAGAAGGUGCAUCUCCUCAGGAAUCACCAACUUCAUUAAUGGGGGUCGUUCUUUUGGAUAAAGAGUGAAUGGAUUUAUAAACAUCCUGCUUGUCAACAAGGAAGUCAGAAGUUUCAAGAGGAACACAAAGCCCCCUUGGAAGAUCCCCUGGGCCUACAGAACUACUAGAUUGUCUUCUGAGUCCUAGUUUUAAUAUGUGAGCUCAGCUUGUGUCCAUUGACCAUUGUUUCUCAGGAAGUGAUUAGAAGAAUGGCUUUGGUUACCUGGGAAAGACAAUGACUCAUCCUCAAGUCAUAUAGUGAAGUUUCUCAAGCAUGCAUCUUGAAUGUGAUCAUAAUCUCCAAGACAGAGCUUAGACACAAGCCCUUCUCACAUGAGUUCUUCAGGGUAUUAGGAAAUCUAGCAAAGGAGGAUGAGGAAGAUGAGGAGGAGGUGGAG
ensembl:lncRNA